CUGUAGUUCAAAACACAAGAUCUGAAACCAGGGGAUUCAAAGCUGCCCUCUCGUGCCUGGAAUUCCACCCUGGGCUCCACCCUGGGGCACAGGCUGCACAGGCCUUGCUCUGAUGUGCAGAUUCCCUGCUGCACGUCGGAUCUGGGCCUCAGUGUCCCUGUCUGUAAGUGGAGACAAGAAGGGGGACCACCUGGCAGCAAAGAAAAUUUGGGGGCUAUGGUCUACAGGGAAGAGCCGCAGGACACAGCCAUGGGGCAGGUGUCUAUGGAGGCGUGCCCCUGCCAUGCCUCGAGGGCCCACCAGAGCCACCCACUGCCUGGAAAAGGCUGAGCUAGCGAGGAGGUUGCCUUCUUUUCCGGGUGAGGCCCAGUGAGGGGAGGCUGCUGGAGGUCACACAGCAGGUGGGUGGCCCUAGUCCGAGACCUCAUGUCCACUCAGACACCCUCAGGCUCAUUGGCCAGUCUCUGGAGCUAUUUGGCCUCCUGAGUCCCCACCCAAGGCCACCAGUCACCUGGUGUUCUGAGGACUCUAGGGGUCAGUGUUCUGGAGUUUGAGUUGCCUGGGUGGGCCGAGGAAACCAGAGAGAGAUGGAGAGGAGCGACCCCAUCUGCUCUGUUUUGGGAUCUCAUAGGGUUCAUUAAGGGAGUGUCCCUGGAGUACCGGUGAGGGGACAGUGCGAGAAACCAAGCCAGGGUGAGCCGACACGGCCUCCUGUACCAGCCAGUCACGGCUCAGGGCUGCCCCAAGGUGGGGGGAUUCUUUCCAGCGAUCGGGAUCUGGCUCUGCCACACCCACGAAUCAGCCAGUGACCCCAGGGCAGGCCUCUGAGAAAGGUGCAGGUGUCCAAAGGAUCUAAGGUCAGACUCAGAGUCAUAAGGAGGCUGGAGGUUAUCAAGGUUGAGGCAGAGGGGUGGGAAGCAUGUGUCAUGGGGACAGAGUUUCAGUUCAGAAAGAUGAAAGAGCUCUGGAGAAGGAUGGUGGGGAUGGGUGCACAGCAGUGCAAAAGUGCUUAGCACCCCUGAACUGGACCAUUUAAAAUGGUGCAAACAGUAAUUUUUUUUAAAACAACCAAUUUUUAUUUAUUUAUU